rnacentral:rRNA from 1 species
UACGUAGGGUGCAAGCGUUAAUCGGAAUUACUGGGCGUAAAGCGUGCGCAGGCGGUUUUGUAAGUCUGUCGUGAAAUCCCCGGGCUCAACCUGGGAAUGGCGAUGGAGACUGCAAGGCUAGAGUUUGGCAGAGGGGAGUAGAAUUCCACGUGUAGCAGUGAAAUGCGUAGAUAUGUGGAGGAAUACCGAUGGCGAAGGCAGCCCCCUGGGUCAAAACUGACGCUCAUGCACGAAAGCGUGGGGAGCAAACAGG